CGCAAACUAAUUUGCGCAAACUAAUUUGCGCAAACUUCCCGUGUAAUGACGAAUACAGUUUCUCUAGUGAUUUGAGUGUCUCCUCACCAAACAAACCGCUCACCACGAGCCGCGAAAGCAAAGCAGCCACGAACAGCAACGCUAAUCGGAGAAAAGCUUCCGUGAGGAAGAGCAGAGAAAAAACACUGCGUCGAGACCGACCACAACCCACAGUAGGCGCGUCACUGACACUACGUUGACGCUGCGGUUGCUGGGAUACAAUCAUCGAUGUCAAUGUGACCAGAUGAGCUCACUUCACCAGUGCAGUCUGACCAGCAGACAGGACCACAGAAACAUCUGAUGAGGAAGCACAGACGGCUCAGCAGGCCUGUCAAAAAGCUGAAGUCCGUUUGAAAGUGGCAACGUUAUUUCAGCAUUACAGCCAAGCUGCCCCCCAAAAGGUGUAAAGUCAGUUCACGUCCUGCUGUUACUUUUCUUAUCAUGUCAGAACAUCAGCCUGUCCAGGUUUGAGAAAGUUGUUGCAGUGCCUGGCCAAUCUUAG